UUCUCUUCCAGAUCUUCUUGAUGAUCCCCCUCAGCUCCUCGUUCUCCUGAUCCGGGUUACCUAGCAACAGCACAUAGCUACUCUGUGAGGACAGAGCUUCCCAAAACCCAGAGGAGGCUGAAUCCUCCUGAGCAGAGCGACAACGUCCAGGUGUUUAAUACGACCCCUGAGAGAGAAGAGAACACAAUACGAUAAAAUACGACACAAUACAGAUAUUCUACUAUCUUCUACCAGAUCCUCUUGAACUCGUCCAGGUGAUGCGGCCCAAGAAUCGACCAAUCACGUGUCAGAUAGUCAAAGUUGUCCAUGAUGACGGCGACGAACAAGUUGAUGAUCUGAAGGAGACAAAAGGUCCAAAAAAAACCAGGAAAGCACACAGCAUGAAGAAGCUGAUGAAAUAAACGAUGGCGAAGUUGCUGCCGCAGGUGAACUCUUCUCCUGGUUCG